UACAGAGGGUGCAAGCGUUAAUCGGAAUUACUGGGCGUAAAGCGUGCGUAGUCGGCCAUUUAAGUCGGGUGUGAAAUCCCCGGGCUCAACCUGGGAAUUGCAUUCGAUACUGGAUGGCUAGAGUUCGGCAGAGGGAAGCGGAAUUUCCGGUGUAGCGGUGAAAUGCGUAGAUAUCGGAAGGAACACCAGUGGCGAAGGCGGCUUCCUGGACUAAUACUGACGCUGAGGUGCGAAAGCGUGGGGAGCAAACAGG
rnacentral:rRNA from 1 species